rnacentral:tRNA from 1 species
GAGGGUAAAACUCAGUGGUAGAGCACAUGCUCAGCAUGCCUGAGGUCCUGGGUUCAAUCCCCAGUACCUCCA